rnacentral:rRNA from 1 species
AUACGUAGGUGGCAAGCGUUGUCCGGAUUUAUUGGGCGUAAAGCGCGCGCAGGCGGUCUUUUAAGUCUGAUGUGAAAUCUUACAGCUUAACUGUAAGCGGUCAUUGGAAACUGGGAGACUUGAGUGCAGAAGAGGAGAGUGGAAUUCCAUGUGUAGCGGUGAAAUGCGUAGAGAUAUGGAGGAACACCAGUGGCGAAGGCGACUCUCUGGUCUGCAACUGACGCUGAGGCGCGAAAGCGUAGGGAUCAAACAGGAUUAGAUACCCUGGUAGUCCACGCCGUAAACGAUGAGUGCUAGGUGUUAGGGGUUUCGAUACCCUUAGUGCCGCAGUUAACACAUUAAGCACUCCGCCUGGGGAGUACGGCCGCAAGGCUGAA